rnacentral:rRNA from 1 species
CGAACGCUGGCGGCAUGCCUAACACAUGCAAGUCGAACGAAGGCUUCGGCCUUAGUGGCGCACGGGUGCGUAACGCGUGGGAAUCUACCCUUAGGUACGGAAUAACUCAGGGAAACUUGUGCUAAUACCGUAUAAUGUCUUCGGACCAAAGAUUUAUCGCCUUUGGAUGAGCCCGCGUAGGAUUAGCUUGUUGGUGGGGUAAUGGCCUACCAAGGCGACGAUCCUUAGCUGGUCUGAGAGGAUGAUCAGCCACACUGGGACUGAGACACGGCCCAGACUCCUACGGGAGGCAGCAGUAAGGAAUGUUGGGCAAUGGACGAAAGUCUGACCCAGCCAUGCCGCGUGAAGGAUGAAGGUCCUCUGGAUUGUAAACUUCUUUUAUCUGGGGCGAAAAUCACCUUUCUAGGGUGCUUGACAGUACCAGAAGAAUAAGCACCGGCUAACUCCGCGCCAGCAGCCGCGGUAAUCUGAUGGCGCGAGG